AUUGAACGCUGGCGGCAGGCCUAACACAUGCAAGUCGAACGAGUGGCGGACGGGUGAGUAAUGUCUGGGGAACUGCCCGAUGGAGGGGGAUAACUACUGGAAACGGUAGCUAAUACCGCAUACCAUCGGAUGUGCCCAGAUGGGAUUAGCUAGUAGGUGGGGUAAAGGCUCACCUAGGCGACGAUCCCUAGCUGGUCGGAGAGGAUGAGCAGCCGCACUGGAACUGUGACACGGUCCAGACGCCUACGGUAGGCAGCAGUGGGGAAUAUUGCACAAUGGGCGCAAGCCUGAUGCAGUCAUGCCGCGUGUAUGAAGAAGGCAUUAGGGUGGUAAAGUACUUUCAGCGUGGAGGCGUUACCCGAAGAAGAAGCACCGGCUAACUCCGUGCCAGCAGCCGCGGUAAUAC
rnacentral:rRNA from 1 species